UGGACGAAUAGUCGAAGUUCCAAAGCACAGAAUUGCCGAAGUACUAAUAUACCCAGUGGAAGAAUAAAUAAUGUUACACUGUAUAGCAGUUUAAAUAAAAAGUAUACAAACAUAGCCAGGAUUCAGCUGUAAGCAUUUGCAACACUUACAACAAUCAAGUAACACAUUCAUAUAAAAUGUAAGUUACUUAGCCAGUCAAUGAAUGGGAAUGAAUAAGUAGAUAACUCCCUAAUUCCCACGGUAUUAGGGAGCUAUCUACCAAAAGGCUGAAAGACCUAAAUUGGUCUUUCAGACAAAUUUACUAAUACUAAGUAAAGAUUACUUAGUAUUAGUAAAUUCUGUCCCUACUCGCUAUACUGCGAGUAGGGGCAUGUCUAGUAAUCAGUCAGCAGCAUGUGUGCAAGUGGGGGCUUCACACCUUUUUACAAGCCUAACACAGGGACAUCAUACCAUAUCAGUGACAGAAUGGAGAUAAAAACCAGCUCUGAAAAGAAUUGUAUAACAGACCAAUAGCAUUGUGUCAUUAUACCAGCUCAUCACAUACAAUUCAGAUUAAUAAAGCAUUGAACUUAAGGCCGUAAAAUAGGUAAAACGUCAAGGGGGGUGAAUACUUUUUCAAAGCACUGUAUAUCAGGGCAGUGUGUGAGACAUCACCUUGUGUUGACACUGGGGGCAUAUAUUGACUUACCCCGCACAAAGAUUGCACUCACAGACUUGCCCCAACACCCAGGACUUACUCCAGCAUGGUGAUUGCACUCACAGGACUUGUCCUAGCACCCAAGACUUACCCCAGCACUGAGAUGGCACUCACAGAACAUGCCCUAGCACCCAGGACUUACCCUAGCACGGAGACUGUAGUGACAGGACUUGCCCCAUGACCUCUAACAGAAACGAUGCCAGAUAUGAGAUUUCCGGCAACAUUACACUGCCCGAGUGUGGGCUCUCGUACUCUUAUGGCCGGACUCUUAAAGCGGUCAUGGCAGAACACUUGAAGGAUGCAUCCCAACCUUAUUACAAAAUAGGAGUCUUUACUGGUGUCACUAAAUUUUUUAUAACUAACAAAUACCUUGGUUGUGACUGAUGACCUUGGCUGUGUUGAUGUUGAAUGGGUGUAUUUGUGUGUAGUGUUGGCGAGAUUCUGAGAUGUUUGCACAUGUACAUACACACUGACAUACAUGCAGAUACAUAGACACAUACUCACACACAGAUACACUGACACAUAUGCAGACACAGUCGUGACUCUAAGAACAAUAUAUGGGGGGGACACAUAAGAUACCACAGUCAAAUCUGGGGGGUACUAAAAUGUUUCACUAGGGGAUGUGCUGCCAUUGGCUGUCUGAUAAUUCACAUUAGCCACCCAGAUUUCUUCUUGUGGGCUGGCUGACACCUCUUAACUCUGAUCUUUGUUUAUCAGAUAACUCCCUUAUUUCCUUUCCUUAUGUGGGCUUGCCAUAUUUAAGGACACCAAAUAAAGGAGAUAUCUGCUAAACAGAACCCUAAUUUAGUAUCUUUAAAUAUGAAAAUCUCACAUAAGGGCACCAAUUUAGUGAAUUAUCUACUAAGC